UGCACCGCUUUACUUUCCUGCCAUGUUUGAGGCACCAUCAUAACUCUGCCCACGUAAAGCAGACAUGGGCACAUCAGUUACCGUCUUGGCAAGGCUCUGGCCUGUUGUCUCUGAUAUACUGUACAACCCAAUAAACUACUCAUGUGGGACAAGGUCAUGGUCCACAUAGCGCAAACAAACACUUGCCUGCUCAACACCAGAAAUAUCAUACGUACCAUCCACUAUCACAGAAAUCUGAACAAGGGCUGGAGACCUUAUGUCACUGGCAAUGCCUCUGAUUAUCGUAUUGGCCAUAAUGCUCAGGAUUUCAUUCUGUGGUUUAGGGCUUGUGUAUGCAGUAAAUAAAAUAAAAAUAAAAUGGGAUCAUCCUUUUCUGCCCUAAGUUUCAGGAGCUGAUACAGAUUACCACUUUCUUGUGGCCUCUUAAAGAUUGUCCCUUUUCCCUCAAGCAUUGCCUUGCCACCUAUUGCUGUUUACCCCAUACACUUGAUAACUGGGAACUGACUGAGGUUGACUGAUGUGCACUCACAGUCACAUGAGGUCGAUGGUCUUGGGAGGUCUGGUGUGCUUUUUUCCAGUUUCUAAAGCCUGUACUGAUGAAAGCAGCAUCAGGUCUAUGACGUAAACAGGACUGGUUUAACAUACCUUUGCUGCAGUAAAAACACAAGACCUCUUUGGCUGAUGGGCUGUAAUGUAGCCAUGGAAAGUCUUGUUACCAUUUAUCUUGAAAUGCUAAGGAUUUGUUUGCAAGUAUAUGUUUAUCAAUACACUGGGUAUGUGGUUGGUAUGGCUUUGUGCAGUCACUGAGAUCUGAACUAAAAACGGUGCUCCUGUUCCCUGUGCUGGUGCUAGCAAUAUCAUAUAAUAUCAUGAUCUUUCUGGAUCUGUCCCUGGUUCUGACCUUUCCUCUACUCUCACUGUCUCAGAAAAGUCUGACUCCUGGAAAGGAAAAAAAUAUGUUUUCCAUACUUGUAGUAACUACCUCAUCCAACCAAAUAGCAAGACUUCUUGUCAUGGUGCUGUCUGUUUUCCCUCUCCCCUCUCCCUUGUUUUUUUGUCUGUCAUGUGCUGAGUGGGUGUGGCGCUCCUGGCUCUCUCUCCCUCCUCGUCAAGACACCUGUGGCUUCCUGUUCACCUGAUUCACAUCCAGCAAUCACCACUCCUGUUUUAAAACCCCAGCCUUCCAACUAGUCUCUGCCAGAUCGUCCGUUCACUCAAGUGAUUCCCACUACAGCCCUGGAAGCCCAGUCUGCCUACCUGAGCCUCGUUCUUCUCUCGAUCCUGCUUCUCACCUGUCUGCCCGCUCUCAGCCCCAGGGGAUAUCCAGCACCUGCAUCACUCAUUUUUUUUGUUCAAUAAACCUCAAUACCUGUUCUGA